AAAAAAACACACUUUAUUUAAUAGGGCGAACCUUUUAACGUUUAAGUGCCCAUACUCUCACUUAGGCACGAAAAGUCUCCAUUUACAACAGCGAGGUAGUUCUAAGCAACGUCUAUUAAAUUUUGAGUCAGAUAUUGCUGCAAAAAGAGCUACCCUUUGGAAAGGCACACAUGACGAGCGAGGUGCCAAAGUAUGACUGUGUAUCUCGUCAAAAACGAAAGAUACAUAGAGUCAACACGAAUUAUCUAUGGCGAGACAAGGUAGAGAAUUUAAAUAUAAAUAGCCCUAAAACUGUAAGGGUCUUUCAAAUAACAAUGUGAGACUGGUAUGGUUUGUUUCGGGCUCGAAAAACUAAAAAAAUCGAAAAACAGACAUUAAGGGGCAUGAGCUCAAACUACCAUUUAAAAUGCAAAUGUGUAGUACACAAAUAUUAAUAAUAAUAUAAGUAGUGUAUUACGACCCUUGAUAAAAACAGUAAUUUUCCUAAAUAGUUUAGCAGUAAAAUGUAUUAAAGAGAAGAGAAAGUUUUGAGACGACAGCCCUCGCUUGUUCGUUAGCCAACAGAGUCGUUGAACACUAGAGGGUGCCAAUUUAAGAGGGCGAGGAAAUAAAAGGGUGAGAGAUUUAUUAAGAGGCAGCUGACCAGAUUGGUCUGCUUUGAAAAUUAGCACCUUAGAAUACGCGCAGUGGAGGAGGAUUAUCCCGUACGUAAGUACGCAUUUUUAUUGAAUUUUGGACUUAUUGGAUAUUGUAUUUGGUCUCAGUAAUCUAAAGUUGUAUCGGGCCGACUCGAUAGUGAUAAUAAAAUGUAAUAAAAAAGAACGGCCAAGGUUUGCCAUACGUAAGAUACCCUUUAAUCCAGUCGACGGAUGGCAAAGAAACGGGAAGAGAAAAUCAUAGACAUUGUCGGUACGUCUCUUGUGGUGUCGAAUAAACACUAGCUAUUCCAAGAGUCACUUAUGGUUUCUUCGUGUCUUUUCUCCAAGCCUUAGAGCCUGGCGCUAUAAACUUUGACACCUCUUUUCUUUCCUCAUUAUAUGGCGCCCUGUUUUAAUGACUUUAUAAAUUUCGUUUUUGUUUCUCGCUGUUGUUUGGUUAUCCUUGUGACAGACGGUGCUCCGAGAAGGUGUCUGAGUUAGAGCCAUUUCAAGUGUUUACCAUAGAAAAUGGACACACUCGAAGUACCCUUUGAUCGUGAUAGGUUUCUGAAAAGCAAAUCUCCAAAAGAUUCUUUUAAAAUGUUUCAAUAAAUUUAUAGCUGAUAUUCAAUAUAUAUUUUAUACACAUUUUUUCAGAUGUCUUAGUUUUCUAAAAGAAAAGGUUUCUAACAACGAAUGCGCAUAUUGAAAUGAUCCAAUGUCUUUCUCGCCAUUCCCACAAUCAAAGACUAAGAGGGUUGUAUUAAGAGGGUGUUUACGCACAGGGUAGCAUGGAUAUAUUAGAGUAUACCUUAUGGUUAUCAUACAUGAACUCAUUGACGAGUCCUAAAGAUCCAGGAUUAAUUCCAUUGUACCGCGUUUUGUGUUAAGAUGCUAAGGGGUUUAACUCUGAUAUUCAGACGGAAGUUUCCUAGGGACAUUAACAGAUAGACAACACAUUACGCUGUAUCUGCAACAGGGUCAUAUCUUCACAUACUGCUCAUCACUUCUCAUCAACUGGAAGGUUCUCUUAAGAAUCAGAGAGACCUGUGCUGUUAACACACAAGGCAGAAUAGGCCAGAAUGCAAAGGAGUACUCGAUCUUUAACAAAGCAAAUAUAUUUUCGUGCACUGUAAAGAGCAGUGGCUUGAAAGAGAAAGCACUUCAAAAACGACAUCGUGUUUUUACACAUCACAAGAGCCUUUUUGAACUUUUUCAGUCUCUUGGCAUUUCAAAUAAACUUCAAUUUUGAUCUAAAUAAAAAAAAAAGCCGGUAUAUAAUGGAGUGCCAAAAGUUUAGGAUUUAUUUUGGCGUCUUUUAAAAACAAUUUGCCGAACUAAGUGGAUACUCAAAACAUUAUCAGCAAAAUGCCCCGGACAGACAAUAAAUGAAGAAAUUGCACAAAAGUUAUAUAACAAUUGCAUGACAUUUGAGGGACCGAAAACGUUGAAGAUUUUAAAGGUUGUAAAAGCGAAAUCAAGAAAGAAAAUCAAUAAAAGUCGAAUUCAGUUUUCAAGUUGUGAACAUGUGUUAUGCAAAUGCGUUGCGAGGCAAUUUCUACAGUCGUUGUUUUAUUAAAGUCGAUUAGUACUUUCUGAAGUGCAGAAUAAACUAUAAAACACCUGAAGAUUUGGGUGAUUUUAAUUUCCUGCGGAGGGCGACAGUAAAGAGGCGGGAGAACAUAGAAGUAUCGAAGAUAAUUGGAUAAAAACGUUUUUCAUUAGAGGUACUUUGAAAAGUUGAGGUAAAGUUUUUGCAAAAACUUAACAGAUAAUUGAAAAACAUAAAUUAAAAUUAUCUUCCGCUAAGAAAAGAAGGUUCUUUAAUAAAAGGAUAAAGAGAACAAGUAAGGUGAGAUUUUCUUAGUGAUUGUAAGUAAAAUGUUUUCAAUUGAGAUGCAAGAAUAAACAGACUUAGUUUGUCUUAAAAAGAGCAAUAUUAAGUACCUCACUCAGGGCAUUAGAAUAAUAAGGUGCGAUUGGUAUAAACAUGAUUAGGCAAAAUACUUGAACCAC